CCGGAGCCCCCAGCCCGGAGCGCAGCGCAGAGACCCCGGAGCCCCCAGCCCGGAGCGCAGCGCACGCAGAGCCCCCAGCCCAGAGCGCAGCGCAGAGACCCCGGAGCGCAGAGCCCCCAGACCGGAGCGCAGAGCCCCCAGCCCGGAGCGCAGCGCAGAGCCGGGCGCGCAGCGCGGACAGACCAGGGGGCACAGGGCAGAGCCCGGAGCCCCCAGCCCGGAGCAGCAGCUUCUCCCCUGCAGCCGCCGCCCCGCUCCCAGGUCUGCACCCCCUCUGGCCACGCCAUGGGGCCCUGGCUGCUGCUGUCGCUGCUGCUGCUUGUGCAGG